GGGUANUAAAUUAAAACCUAAAGAAUUUGGCGGUUCUUAAACUUNCUAGAGGAACCUGUCCUGUAAUCGAUAGUCCACGAGUUAGUUUACCUACUUUUGUGAUCAGCUUAUAUACCGCCGUUUAGUGAACUAAAUUAAUAGUUUCUCUAAAUUAAUUAGUUAAAGAAAUCAGGUCAAGGUGUAGUUUAUGAGUAGGAAGAGAUGGGUUACAAUAAAAUUUUAUACGGAUAUCUUAUUUUAGAUUAGGAUUGAAGGUGGAUUUAGAAGUAAAAUGAAGAAUUUUUGAAGGAAGCUCUUAAGAAUGUACACAU
rnacentral:rRNA from 1 species